rnacentral:rRNA from 1 species
ACUCCUACGGGAGGCAGCAGUAGGGAAUCUUCCACAAUGGGCGAAAGCCUGAUGGAGCAACACCGCGUGAGUGAAGAAGGGUUUCGGCUCGUAAAGCUCUGUUGUUGGAGAAGAACGUGCGUGAGAGUAACUGUUCACGCAGUGACGGUAUCCAACCAGAAAGUCACGGCUAACUACGUGCCAGCAGCCGCGGUAAU